GACGUAGGGUGCGAGCGUUGUCCGGAAUUAUUGGGCGUAAAGAGCUCGUAGGCGGUUGGGUAAGUCGGGUGUGAAAACUCCAGGCUCAACUUGGAGACGCCACCCGAUACUGCUCUGACUUGAGUUCGGUAGGGGAGUGGGGAAUUCCUGGUGUAGCGGUGAAAUGCGCAGAUAUCAGGAGGAACACCGGUGGCGAAGGCGCCACUCUGGGCCGAAACUGACGCUGAGGAGCGAAAGCGUGGGUAGCAAACAGG
rnacentral:rRNA from 1 species